rnacentral:rRNA from 1 species
UACAGAGGGUGCGAGCGUUGUCCGGAAUUAUUGGGCGUAAAGAGCUCGUAGGCGGUCUGUCGCGUCGAUCGUGAAAACUUGGGGCUUAACCCUGAGCUUGCGGUCGAUACGGGCAUGACUGGAGUUCGGCAGGGGAGACUGGAAUUCCUGGUGUAGCGGUGAAAUGCGCAGAUAUCAGGAGGAACACCGGUGGCGAAGGCGGGUCUCUGGGCAACAACUGACGCUGAGGAGCGAAAGCGUGGGGAGCGAACAGG